GACGAACGCUGGCGGCGUGCUUAACACAUGCAAGUCGAACGGAAAGGCCCUGCUUUUGUGGGGUGCUCGAGUGGCGAACGGGUGAGUAACACGUGAGUAACCUGCCCUUGACUUUGGGAUAACUUCAGGAAACUGGGGCUAAUACCGGAUAGGAGCUCCUGCUGCAUGGUGGGGGUUGGAAAGUUUCGGCGGUUGGGGAUGGACUCGCGGCUUAUCAGCUUGUUGGUGGGGUAGUGGCUUACCAAGGCUUUGACGGGUAGCCGGCCUGGGAGGGUGACCGGCCACAUUGGGACUGAGGUACGGCCCAGACUCCUACGGGGGGCAGCAGUGGGGAAUAUUGCACAAUGGGCGGAAGCCUGAUGCGGCAGCGCCGCGUGCGGGAUGACGGCCUUCGGGUUGUAAACCGCUUUCGCCUGUGACGAAGCGUGAGUGACGGUAAUGGGUAAAGAAGCACCGGCUAACUACGUG
rnacentral:rRNA from 1 species